CUAGAAGUAAACAUUCAAGUUGACGACGUGUAAAAUAAAUAUCGUGACAAACACUACAUUUACUGGCGACUCAUUAAUUUUCGCUCUUUGAUAUCUGACAAGUACAUCUUGGGCUUCACUGAAUUUACCUUUGUAAUGAAAACAGUCCCCAAGAUAAUUGAAGAGGUCAAGAAUUUCGAGAUCGUGGUCGUUACAUGUCCCCAUUUCUUCUCGGUUUACGUUUCCCAUUUUCUGAAUACUGCUAUCUUUGCUGCUUUUGUCUUUUUCUUUCUAAAGUUUGUUUUGCUAAUGUAAUAGAAGAUGAAUAUCACUAUAUAAUAGGGUGUCCACAAUACAAAGAUUUGCGUUGUAAAUAUAUAAAAAUUUAUUAUUAUAAGCGGCCAAAUGUGUAUCGUUGUAUACAGUUAUUAACCACCGGUAACAAUAAGGAAUUGAAUAACCUAGGCAAAUAUUUAGUGCAGGCUAAUACAAUUAGAGAUCGGUUAAUGCAGGAUAAUAAUUAAUGUAAUAAAUGUAACUUAUAUCA